CGGGUGGCAGCAGUGAGGAAUAGUGGUCAAUGGAAGCAAGUCGGAACAAGCCAUGCCGCGGGCAGGAAGACGGCGCUAUGAGUUGUAAACGGCUUUUGUACGAGGGGAAACGCAGAUACGCGUAUCUGUCUGAAAGUAUCGGACGAAUAAGGAGCGGCUAACUCCGUGCCAGCAGCCGCGGUAAUACGGAGGAUUCAAGCGUUAGCCGGAUUUAUUGGGUUGAAAGGGGGCGUAGGCGGUCGGAUAAGUUCGAGGUGAAAUCCCGAGGCUCAACUUCGGAAUUGCCUCGGAUACUGUUCGGCUAGAGAGUAGUUGCGGUCGGCUGAAUGUAUGGUGUAGCGGUGACAUGCUUAGAGAUCAUACAGAACCCCGAUUGCGAAGGCAGCUUGCUGCAGCGGAACUGACGCUGCUGCUCGAAAGCGCGGGUAUCGAACAGGAUUAGCUACCCCGGUAGUC
rnacentral:rRNA from 1 species